rnacentral:rRNA from 1 species
CAGCGACACUGUGUGUUGUUGGGUAGGGGAGCGUUCUGUAAGCCUGUGAAGGUGUGUCGUGAGGCAUGCUGGAGGUAUCAGAAGUGCGAAUGCUGACAUAAGUAACGAUAAAGCGGGUGAAAAGCCCGCUCGCCGGAAGACCAAGGGUUCCUGUCCAACGUUAAUCGGGGCAGGGUGAGUCGACCCCUAAGGCGAGGCCGAAAGGCGUAGUCGAUGGGAAACGGGUUAAUAUUCCCGUACUUGGUGUUACUGCGAAGGGGGGACGGAGAAGGCUAUGUUGGCCGGGCGACGGUUGUCCCGGUUUAAGCGUGUAGGUGUGUGUUCCAGGUAAAUCCGGUUCACUUUAACACUGAGGCGUGACGACGAGGCACUACGGUGCUGAAGCAACAAAUGCCCUGCUUCCAGGAAAAGCCUCUAAGCAUCAGGUAACAUCAAAUCGUACCCCAAACCGACACAGGUGGUCAGGUAGAGAAUACCAAGGCGCUUGAGAGAACUCGGGUGAAGGAACUAGGCAAAAUGGUGCCGUAACUUCGGGAGAAGGCACGCUGACACGUAGGUGAAGUGAUUUACUCAUGGAGCUGAAGUCAGUCGAAGAUACCAGCUGGCUGCAACUGUUUAUUAAAAACACAGCACUGUGCAAACACGAAAGUGGACGUAUACGGUGUGACGCCUGCCCGGUGCCGGAAGGUUAAUUGAUGGGGUCAGCGCAAGCGAAGCUCCUGAUCGAAGCCCCGGUAAACGGCGGCCGUAACUAUAACGGUCCUAAGGUAGCGAAAUUCCUUGUCGGGUAAGUUCCGACCUGCACGAAUGGCGUAAUGAUGGCCAGGCUGUCUCCACCCGAGACUCAGUGAAAUUGAACUCGCUGUGAAGAUGCAGUGUACCCGCGGCAAGACGGAAAGACCCCGUGAACCUUUACUAUAGCUUGACACUGAACAUUGAGCCUUGAUGUGUAGGAUAGGUGGGAGGCUUUGAAGUGUGGACGCCAGUCUGCAUGGAGCCGACCUUGAAAUACCACCCUUUAAUGUUUGAUGUUCUAACGUGGACCCGUUACCCGGGUUGCGGACAGUGUCUGGUGGGUAGUUUGACUGGGGCGGUCUCCUCCUAAAGAGUAACGGAGGAGCACGAAGGUUGGCUAAUCCUGGUCGGACAUCAGGAGGUUAGUGCAAUGGCAUAAGCCAGCUUGACUGCGAGCGUGACGGCGCGAGCAGGUGCGAAAGCAGGUCAUAGUGAUCCGGUGGUUCUGAAUGGAAGGGCCAUCGCUCAACGGAUAAAAGGUACUCCGGGGAUAACAGGCUGAUACCGCCCAAGAGUUCAUAUCGACGGCGGUGUUUGGCACCUCGAUGUCGGCUCAUCACAUCCUGGGGCUGAAGUAGGUCCCAAGGGUAUGGCUGUUCGCCAUUUAAAGUGGUACGCGAGCUGGGUUUAGAACGUCGUGAGACAGUUCGGUCCCUAUCUGCCGUGGGCGCUGGAGAACUGAGGGGGGCUGCUCCUAGUACGAGAGGACCGGAGUGGACGCAUCACUGGUGUUCGGGUUGUCAUGCCAAUGGCACUGCCCGGUAGCUAAAUGCGGAAGAGAUAAGUGCUGAAAGCAUCUAAGCACGAAACUUGCCCCGA